AUGAUUCGUGGGACGUCCUGCCGGUGGUGGCGAGUCGAAGGCGUGCUCCCGUUGUGGUUCCCACUUCGGUUCUUGCGCGCCCGAGGCGGACCCCGAUGAAAUCCUACCGCGGUGCUCUUCGCCGAGUGUCGAGGUGGGCCGGCACGUUUACUUUGAACAAAUUAGAGUGCUUAAAGCAGGCCUGUUGCGCCUGAAUACUGUGUGCAUGGAAUAAUGGAAUAGGACCUCGGUUCUAUUUUGUUGGUUUUCGGAACCCGAGGUAAUGAUUAAUAGGGACAGGCGGGGGCAUUCGUAUUGCGACGUUAGAGGUGAAAUUCUUGGAUCGUCGCAAGACGGACCGAAGCGAAAGCAUUUGCCAAGUAUGUUUUCAUUAAUCAAGAACGAAAGUUAGAGGUUCGAAGGCGAUCAGAUACCGCCCUAGUUCUAACCAUAAACGAUGCCAGCUAGCGAUCCGCCGAAGUUCCUCCGAUGACUCGGCGGGCAGCUCCCGGGAAACCAAGCUUUUGGGUUCCGGGGGAAGUAUGGUUGCAAAGCUGAAACUUAAAGGAAAUUGACGGAAAGG
rnacentral:rRNA from 1 species